CAAGGAAUAGUAGACAAUGGGCGCAAGCCUGAUCUCGCGACGCCGCGUGAGGGAUGAAGGCCUUCGGGUUGUAAACCUCUUUUUUCAGGGAUGAAUAAUGACAGUACCUGGAGAAUAAGUCACGGCUAACUACGUGCCAGCAGCCGCGGUAAAACGUAGGUGGCUAACGUUAUCCGGAUUUACUGGGCGUAAAGCGUGCGUAGGUGGUUAGAUAAGUCAGAUGUAAAAUCUCCUGGCUCAACUGGGAGGGACCAUCUGAUACUGUUUAGCUUGAGUACAGAAGAGGAAAGUGGAAUUCCCGGUGUAGUGGUGGAAUGCGUAGAUAUCGGGAGGAACACCAGUGGCGAAAGCGGCUUUCUGGUCUGUUACUGACACUGGUGCACAAAAGCGUGGGGAGCAAACAGG
rnacentral:rRNA from 1 species